UACGUAGGGGGCAAGCGUUGUCCGGAAUCAUUGGGCGUAAAGAGCGUGUAGGCGGCCCGAUAAGUCCGCUGUGAAAGCCCAGGGCUCAACCCUGGAAUGCCGGUGGAUACUGUCGGGCUCGAAUCCGGAAGAGGUGAGUGGAAUUCCUGGUGUAGCGGUGAAAUGCGCAGAUAUCAGGAGGAACACCAAUGGCGAAGGCAGCUCACUGGGACGGUAUUGACGCUGAGACGCGAAAGCGUGGGGAGCGAACAGG
rnacentral:rRNA from 1 species